CAAGGUUGGAGACCUAGGAGGGGCUUGGCACACAGACAACUCCUCUGCAGCUGUCCAAAGAAAAACAGCUCUUCCCAUCUCAAGCUGCCCACCUGCCCAGUGUGCUGUCUGUCCCACAGAGACUGGAAAUACUUACAUCAUCUCCACAUUCCUUAGCCAUUUGUCACCAGACUGAAGAUUGACUGGUGGGAUGCCUGCUUCUAGAGAGAAGAUACUGCUUUUCUCUGACUCCAGCUGAGAAGAGCUUGUAGCAAGGAGAUCGUUAAGCCCCCUGACCGAUCGUCACUAACCUUCCUCUAAGAUAUCUCCUGGGCCCGGCACGGUGACUCAAGCCUGUAAUCCCAGCACUUUGGACGGCCGAGACGGGAGGAUCACGAGGUCAGGAAAUCGAGACCAU